rnacentral:lncRNA from 1 species
AUGCCCUGCUCCUUUCCUAGUACUCCGGCCUCUGGGUCGCCAGCAACCCCUGCCCUGAUGUGUCCAGCCCCCAAGCCUCCUCAUCAUCUGGUUCCCUCAGGGCCUUCCCAUCUCCAGGGUCUGGAGCUGCCCUGGCUCUCAGAGGGCACUCAGAAGAGAGCUGGGGCCCGAAGUGGGCAGGGAGGACGGAGGACAGAGGGGUCCUUCUGCCCCAACUCUGGCCUCAGAGCCCUGGGUCCGAGGCACCAGCCAGUCCUUUUUUGUAAAGCUGGGUUGGGACCCAGGACCUGCUUGGAAUUCUCAGGGGGAGGGAGGGGCUGGGGGGGGGUGGUCACGAGGCCGGCGGUGGCACCAGCAUCCGGAAGUUUGGGUUGGGAGCCAGGCUUCGACAGCCAUCUUGAGCCCCAGCGAGUAAGGCAGGGCGGGCCUGAGGGCUGCCGGCCUUCCGCCCAGCGUGGGUGGGGGCACGGUCUGAUGGCCUGGCCCGGCACCUGCGGGGACCCGGAGGAAGGGAGGAGAGGGGCCUCACCUGUGGGGUCUCCACCCCCAGCGCCCUCCAGGGUCCUGGUGCCGCCUGGGGCGGGGGAAGGGUGGUCCGGGCUGUCUCUGGGGCCGCUGCCAGCAGAGGCUGCUCUUCCGUGGCCUGGGCUGGGAGUUGGGGGCCGGGGCUGCUUUUCUAAAGUCCUCUCCUCUUCCCCCCUCCGGAUAGGUGGGGGCAGCAAGGGACGAGGUCACCCCCCGGAGAGGCUUCCGGAGGGGCUCCAGACCUGCGGCCCCCAGGUCUCUCCUGGCCCAGUGGUGGUGCCAACGGCCCAGCGGCUGCAGCACCUAUGCCCAGACCCUCAGCGUGGGGCCCCCGCAGGCCCCCGCACCCGCACACCUGUCAUGCACGGAAGCCUCACACACUUUAUUUCACCAGCAGUCCUUUGUGUCUGCGAUAGAAAGGCCACCUUGGGGUCCCGGGGCGCCCCGGGUCAGGGCCACGGGGGCUGGGAGGUCAUGGGGUGGCCUGUGCCCUGGGGGCCCACGAGGGCCUGGGCCUGGGCAAGAGUGCACUGUCGGUUCAGGGCCACUGCUGGGUCCGACGGGCCCCUGGCCUCCCCUCCACGCGGCGUCUGGCGAGGGGCCCUCCUCGGGCGGCAGUCGAGCCGGGAAUGGACGGCAUUACCAGACAGUAUUAGACAGAAGAACCAGAUCUAA